CAGAGGGUGCGAGCGUUGUCCGGAAUCACUGGGCGUAGAGGGCGCGUAGGUGGCGGCAUAAGGCUGUGGUGAAAGUCUGGGGUUCAACUCCAGAUCGGCCGCGGCGACUGUGUCGCUUGGGCACCGUAGAGGCAGAUGGAAUUCCGGGUGUAGCGGUGGAAUGCGUAGAGAUCCGGAAGAACACCAGUGGCGAAGGCGGUCUGCUGGGCGGUGAGCUCGCGAGAGCUCAAUAGCCGACACUGAGGCGCGACAGCGUGGGGAGCAAACAGGAUUAGAUACCCUGGUAGUCCACGCCGUAAACGAUGGGCACUAGGUGCUCCGGGGAGCGACCCUUGGAGUACCGGCGCUAACGCAUGAAGUGCCCCGCCUGGGGAGUACGGCCGCAAGGCUG
rnacentral:rRNA from 1 species